AUUGAACGCUGGCGGCAGGCCUAACACAUGCAAGUCGAGCGGAUGAAGGGAGCUUGCUCCUGGAUUCAGCGGCGGACGGGUGAGUAAUUCCUAGGAAUCUGCCUGGUCGUGGGGGAUAACGUCCGUAAACGGGCGCUAAUACCGCAUACGUCCUGAUGGAGAAAGUGGGGGAUCCUCGGACCUCACGCUAUCUGCUGAGCCUAGGUCGGAUUAGCUAGUUGGUGAGGUAAAGGCCUACCAAGGCGACGAUCCGUAACUGGUCUGAGAGGAUGAUCAGUCACACUGGAACUGAGACACGGUCCAGACUCCUACGGGAGGCAGCAGUGGGGAAUAUUGGACAAUGGGCGAAAGCCUGAUCCAGCCAUGCCGCGUGUGUGAAGAAGGUCUUCGGAUUGUAAAGCACUUUAAGUUGGGAGGAAGGGCAGUAAGUUAAUACCUUGCUGUUUUGACGGUACCAACAGAAUAAGCACCGGCUAACUUCGUG
rnacentral:rRNA from 1 species